rnacentral:rRNA from 1 species
AAAAUAAUAAUGAUUCCGUAAGUAGUGGCGAGCGAACGCGGAACAGCCUAAACCGUAAUACUUGUAUUGCGGGGUUGUAGGACCGGCACAAUGUGCAACAUCAGAAGUGGAAUAUGCCUGGAAAGCAUAACCGUAGGGGGUGAUAGUCCCGUACACGCCAUGAUGUUGUUCAGGCCGGGAUCCUGAGUAGGGCGGGACCGGUGAAAUCCUGUCUGAAUCUGCCGGCACCAUCCGGUAAGGCUAAAUACUCCUGAGAGACCGAUAGUGUACCAGUACUGUGAAGGAAAGGUGAAAAGCACCCCAAGAAGGGGAGUGAAAAGACCCUGAAACCGUACGUCUACAAGCGGUCGGACCACUUCGGUGGAACGGCGUGCCUUUUGCAUAAUGAGCCUACGACUUAUUUCUGACUAGCAAGUUUAACCUCUUCAGGAGGGCAAGCGCAGCGAAAGCGAGUCUGAACAGGGCGCCCCAGCUAGUCGGAAUAGACGCGAAACCGAGUGAUCUACCCAUGGGCAGGUUGAAGUCCCGAUAGUCUCGGGAUGGAGGACCGAACUAGUAAGCGUUGAAAAGCUUUUGGAUGACCUGUGGGUAGGGGUGAAAGGCUAAU